GGGGUUGUGACUCAGUGGCAGAGUGCUUGCCUCAAAUAUGUGAGGCACUGGGUUCAAUCCUCAGCACCCCA
rnacentral:tRNA from 1 species